UUUUUGGAGAGUUUGAUCUUGGCUCAGGACGAACGCUGGCGGCGUGCCUAAUACAUGCAAGUCGAGCGCUGGAAGCUAAUUUCAUCCCUUCGGGAUGAAAUUAGUGGAAAGAGCGGCGGACGGGUGAGUAACACGUGGGCAACCUACCUAUAAGACUGGGAUAACUCGCGGAAACGUGAGCUAAUACCGGAUAAUACUUUUUAUUGCAUAGUAAGAAGUUUGAAAGGCGGCGUAAGC
rnacentral:rRNA from 1 species